rnacentral:rRNA from 1 species
UCAGUAACACGUAGUCAACAUGCCCAGGGGACGUGGAUAACCUCGGGAAACUGAGGAUAAACCGCGAUAAGCCACUACUUCUGGAAUGGGUGAUGACUUAAAUCUAUAUGGCCCCUGGAUUGGACUGCGGCCGAUCAGGCUGUUGGUGAGGUAAUGGCCCACCAAACCUGUAACCGGUACGGGCUCUGAGAGGAGGAGCCUGGAGAUGGGCACUGAGACAAGGGCCCAGGCCCUAUGGGGCGCAGCAGGCGCGAAACCUCUGCAAUAGGCGAAAGCCUGACAGGGUUACUCUGAGUGAUCUCCGUUAAGGAGAUCUUUUGGCACCUCUAAAAAUGGUGCAGAAUAAGGGGUGGGCAAGUCUGGUGCCAGCAGCCG